rnacentral:rRNA from 1 species
GAUGAACGCUGGCGGCGUGCCUAAUACAUGCAAGUCGAGCGAACAGAUGAGGAGCUUGCUCCUCUGACGUUAGCGGCGGACGUGUGAGUAACACGUGGAUAACCUACCUAUAAGACUGGGAUAACUUCGGGAAACCGGAGCUAAUACCGGAUAACAUAUUGAACCGCAUGGUUCAAUAGUGAAAGACGGUUUUGCUGUCACUUAUAGAUGGAUCCGCGCCGCAUUAGCUAGUUGGUAAGGUAACGGCUUACCAAGGCAACGAUGCGUAGCCGACCUGGGAGGGUGAUCGGCGACACUGGGACUGAGACACGGUCCAGAGUCCUACGGGAGGCAGCAGUAGGGAAUCUUCCGCAAUGGGCGAAAGCCUGACGGAGCAACGCCGCGUGGGUGAUGAAGGUCUUCGGAUCGUAAGACUCUGUUAUUAGGGAAGACCAAAUGUAUAAGUAACUAUGCACGUCUUGACGGUACCUAAUCAGAAAGCCACGGCUAACUACGUG